UUGAAACUUGAUUCUCGCGGAGGAUCACCGUCUUGGGGGAAAAGGCGGGCGACAAGGAAAAAGACAGACAUUACAAUCGAGCAGGGUUUGACUGCUUCACCCUGUGGCCCGAACCUAGCAGGAUGUCAGGCUCCUUGGAGUGAGAGGGAGUGAGAUGGUUCGUCUCCCAUCUGGAACACCAGCUUCGCACGCGCUUGCCAGACUCAUCUCCCACUUGACGGGUAACUUCAAGGAGAACUCCAGGAUGUUACGUUUAUUCAAGUCUUUGCCCUAGGUCUUAGUUGCAGCAGGAAGGAUCUUUGUGGCAUACGAAUCUAUUUUUAGCUGUGGCACGCAGGAUCUAGUUCCCUGACCAGGGAUCCAGCCCGGGGCCUCCUGCAUUGGCAGCUCGAAGUCUUAACUGCUGGAACACCUGGGAAGUCCCUGGGCUGGUUUCUUUCAGGUGAGCAAUUCGCCUGGUGCUUGCUGGGAUUUUUCUUUAACCUCAAAAGUCAAACA